rnacentral:rRNA from 1 species
AUGCAAGUCGAGUGCGCGUUCCGUAGCAAUACGGAAUGGCGCACGGCGCACGGGUGCGUAACACGUGGGUAAUCUGCCCUCUGAUGGGGAAUAACUCGCCGAAAGGCGAGCUAACUCCGCAUAAUAUUCCGAAAAUUUCGGUUUUUGGACUGAAAGGCGUAAGUCGUCGGAGGAGGAGCCCGCGCACGAUUAGCUAGUUGGUAGGGUAAUGGCCUACCAAGGCUGUGAUCGUUAGCUGGUCUGAGAGGAUGGCCAGCCACACUGGAACUGAGACACGGUCCAGACUCCUACGGGAGGCAGCAGUGGGGAAUCUUGCACAAUGGGCGAAAGCCUGAUGCAGCGACGCCGCGUGGGGGAUGAAGCUUUUCGGAGUGUAAACCCCUUUCGAUCCGGACGAAUGCCCGCAAGGGAUUGACGGUACGGAUAUAAGAAGCCCCGGCUAACUACGUGCCAGCAGCCGCGGUAAUACGUAGGGGGCCAGCGUUGUUCGGAAUUACUGGGUGUAAAGGGUUCGUAGGCGGUGCGGCAAGUUGGGAGUGAAAUCUCUGGGCUCAACCCAGAGACGGCUUCCAAAACUGCUGUGCUUGAGUGUGAGAGAGGCUCGUGGAAUUGCAGGUGUAGCGGUGAAAUGCGUAGAUAUCUGCAGGAACACCCGUGGCGA